GUGCUCUCCUCCAUGCCAAUCUUCUUGCUGACGGCUUUAAAGGAUGACAAAGGCAUCCUCAAGGCCUUUGCGAAGACCAGUCGCGGCAUGCUCUGGGCCUGUAAGGAGACGGUUAGUGGAGGGAAAUGCAAAGUCAAGUGGCAAAAGGUUUGCCGCCCCAAGGAGCUCGGUGGUUUGGGGGUUUUGGACCUGGAGAGGUUCUCCCGGGCCCUAAGGCUUCGCUGGUUAUGGUAUGAGUGGAAGGCUCCUGAGAACCCAUGGGUGGGCUCUGAAACCCCCAACGACGCCUCCGACCUUGACCUCUUC
rnacentral:rRNA from 1 species